rnacentral:misc_RNA from 1 species
UCUCCGUUGGUGAACCAGCGGAGGGAUCAUUACCGAGUUUACAACUCCCAAACCCCUGUGAACAUACCAUUUGUUGCCUCGGCGGUGCCUGCUUCGGCAGCCCGCCAGGGGACCCAAACCCUUGAUUUUAUACAGUAUCUUCUGAGUAAAUGAUUAAAUAAAUCAAAACUUCCAACAACGGAUCUCUUGGUUCUG